rnacentral:rRNA from 1 species
AUUGAACGCUGGCGGCAGGCCUAACACAUGCAAGUCGAGCGAGCGGCGGACGGGUGAGUAAUGUUUGGGAAACUGCCUGAUGGAGGGGGAUAACUACUGGAAACGGUAGCUAAUACCGCAUACCAUCAGAUGUGCCCCGAUGGGAUUAGCUGGUAGGUGGGGUAAUGGCUCACCUAGGCGACGAUCCCUAGCUGGUCUGAGAGGAUGACCAGCCACACUGGGACGGAGACGCGGUCCAGACUCCUACGUGAGGCAGCAGUGGGGAAUAGUGCACAAUGAGCGCAAGCCUGAUGCAGCCAUGCCGCGUGUGGGAAGAAGGCCUUCGGGUUGUAAAGCACUGUCAGCGGGGAGGCGUUACCCGCAGAAGAAGCACCGGCUAACUCCGUGCCAGCAGCCGCGGUAAUUC